AACGAACGCUGGCGGCAUGCCUAACACAUGCAAGUCGAACGAUACCUUCGGGUUUAGUGGCGCACGUGUGCGUAACGCGUUGGAACCUGCCCUUAGGUUCGGAAUCACUCCCCGAAAGGGGUGCUAAUACCGGAUAAUGUCUUCGCACCAAAGAUUUAUCGCCUUUGUAUGGGCUCGCGUUGGAUUAGCUAGUUGGUAGGGUAAAAGCCUACCAAGGCGACGAUCCAUAGCUGGUCUGAGAGGAUGAUCAGCCACACUGGGACUGAGACACGGCCCAGACUCCUACGGGAGGCAGCAGUGGGGAAUAUUGGACAAUGGGCGAAAGCCUGAUCCAGCAAUGCCGCGUGAGUGAUGAAGGCGUUAGGGUUGUAAAGCUCUUUUACCCGGGAAGAUAAUGACAGUACCGGGUGAAUAAGCUCCGGCUAACUCCGUG
rnacentral:rRNA from 1 species